GAUCAUGGCUCAGAACGAACGCUGGCGGCAGGCCUAACACAUGCAAGUCGAGCGCGCCCUUCGGGGUGAGCGGCGGACGGGUUAGUAACGCGUGGGAACGUACCCUUUGGUAGGGAAUAGCCACUGGAAACGGUGAGUAAUACCCUAUGAGCCCUUCGGGGGAAAGAUUUAUCGCCAAAGGAUCGGCCCGCGUUAGAUUAGGUAGUUGGUGGGGUAAUGGCCUACCAAGCCUACGAUCUAUAGCUGGUUUUAGAGGAUGAUCAGCAACACUGGGACUGAGACACGGCCCAGACUCCUACGGGAGGCAGCAGUGGGGAAUCUUGGACAAUGGGGGCAACCCUGAAUCCAGCCAUGCCGCGUGAGUGAAGAAGGCCUUAGGGUCGUAAAGCUCUUUCGCCUGUGAAGAUAAUGACGGUAGCAGGUAAAGAAACCCCGGCUAACUCCGUGCCAGCCGCUGC
rnacentral:rRNA from 1 species